AACGAACGCUGGCGGCAUGCCUAACACAUGCAAGUCGAACGAUCCCUUCGGGGUUAGUGGCGCACGGGUGCGUAACGCGUGGGAACCUGCCCUUAGGUUCGGAAUAACUCAGAGAAAUUUGAGCUAAUACCGGAUAAUGUCUUCGGACCAAAGAUUUAUCGCCUUUGGAUGGGCCCGCGUUGGAUUAGCUAGUUGGUGGGGUACAGGCCUACCAAGGCGACGAUCCAUAGCUGGUCUGAGAGGAUGAUCAGCCACACUGGGACUGAGACACGGCCCAGACUCCUACGGGAGGCAGCAGUGGGGAAUAUUGGACAAUGGGCGAAAGCCUGAUCCAGCAAUGCCGCGUGAGUGAUGAAGGCCUUAGGGUUGUAAAGCUCUUUUACCCGGGAUGAUAAUGACAGUACCGGGAGAAUAAGCCCCGGCUAACUCCGUG
rnacentral:rRNA from 1 species